UACAGAGGUCUCAAGCGUUGUUCGGAUUCAUUGGGCGUAAAGGGUGCGUAGGUGGCGCUGUAAGUCGGGUGUGAAAUUUCGGAGCUUAACUCCGAAACUGCAUUCGAUACUGCGGUGCUUGAGGACUGGAGAGGAGACUGGAAUUACGGUGUAGCGGUGAAAUGCGUAGAUAUCGUAAGGAAGACCAGUGGCGAAGGCGGGUCUCUGGACAGUUCCUGACGCUGAGGCACGAAGGCCAGGGGAGCAAACGGG
rnacentral:rRNA from 1 species